AAGGCCAGGGAUCGAACCCGUGUCCUCAUGGAUACUAGUUGGGUUCAUUAACCACUGAGCCACGACAGGAACUCCUAUUUCACUAUUUUGUACUUGUCAUGCUUGGUGUUCUCUGAAUUUCCUGGAUCUGUGGCUUGGUGUCUGUCAUUAAACUGGAAAAUUCUCAGUCAUCGUUAAUUCAACUAUUUCUUCUGUCCUUUUUUCUUUUCUUCUUCUAGUAUCCCCACUAAAUGUAUGUUGUGAUAGCUUAUGUAAAUGUUCCAUAGUUCUUAGGCUCCAUUCUUUUUUAUUUUUUUUCUUGCAUUUCACUUUUUGAAGUUUUAUUGACAGUUUCACUGAAGUUUUAUUGACAAGUUCAGAUUUUUUUUUUCCUUGAACAUGUCUAGUUUGCUAAUAAGCCUAACAAAAGCAUUCUUCAUUUAUUUUAUAGGUUUUGAUUACCAGUAUUCUUUUGAUUCUUAGAGCUUCAACAUCUCAUCUUACAUCUGUUCUUUCAUGAACUCCACUUUUCCACUAAAGCCCUUAGCAUAUUAAUCAUAGUUAUUUUAAUUCCAAAAUCUCUUCCAUAUCUGUGUCUGGGUCUGAUGCUUGCUUUACCUUUUAAGACUGUCGGGUUUAUUUGUUUGUCUUUCCCUUUAGCUUUCCCUCUAACUUUUUAAAAAUUGAGACAGGCAUGAUGUACUAGGUAAAAGGAACAUGUUUGGGUAGACCCUUAGUGUGAAGUUUUACACCUAUCUGACUAGGGGUUAGGUGUGUUUACUAUUUGCUGUAACUGUGGUGUCAAGAGUCUAAAAUUUCCACUAGUGUCCUUAUUUUUGUCUCCCCUAUUGUUUGGAGUUUUCCUAGAAACUUCUUAAAUAGGGUCUGAGGCCUGCAGUUCUCUCAGCUGUAAUCAUCUGCUAUUAUACAGGAGCUGAAUUGAUGGUAGUAUGGUAUAUGGGGUGGGAGGGGGGAGUUUUCUAUAGUCCUAUAAUUAGAUUUUAGUCUUUUAGUGAACAUGAGCUGGAUAUUUCCCUGUCCCCAGGGUUAUUAGGCUUUGGUAAAACCUCAGUAGAUUAGACACUUGUAAAUGAGUUUCCCUUGAGGGUAGGUCUUGCUGAGGAGAACAGAGAGCUCUGGAUAUGUUUCAGAAUGGUGACUUUUCCCUCCCCCAAGCACAACGGCAUUUUUCUCCAAACUUAACAGUGACAAACUAAUAGGAUUCUUGGAGAUGAAACCGACAAAUGUAGGGAGUGCUCCUUAAAGCUGGGCUUCGUAGAGUUUUUAACUCUUACACAUGUCCAUAUUGAGCCUGCAGGAAUUUGUCAAUUACAGUAUAAAAUAUUCCUGCCAGUGUUGGCUGUAGCAAAGAGUUUUCUGCUCCAUAAGCUGUGGCUUUCUGUAUCCACUUGUCCGUUGCUCCAGUUUUCAGGGAAGUAAUUUUUCUCGUGUCUCUAAUGCUCUGAUGGAACUGGGAAGUUGUUGAUUUUCACUUGGUUCAGCUUCUUUAUUGUCAUGAGAACAGAAGUGACAACUUGCAAGCUCAUUAAUAUUGGACCAGAAACCAGAAGUUCACCAGGUCUGCUUUUGAAACUUAAAUUAUCGAUGGAGUUCCCACAGUGGUGCAACAGGGUAGGCAAUAUCUUGGGAGCACUGGGACAUGGGUUUGAUCCCUGGCCCAGCACAAUGGGUAGAGGAUCUGGCACUGCUGUGGCUGUGGCUCGAGUCUCGAGGGACUUGACUAUAGCUUGGAUAUGAUCCUUAGACCAGGAACUCCAUGUGCCUUGGGGAAGCCAAAAGAAAAAAAAAAAAGAUAUCUAGGUACCACAUGUCCAUAUUGGCAGGAAGCAGUAUAUCUUUAUCUUGGAGCCCCUUGCUGUAUUGUCCUAGAAUCUCAGCAUUUAGUCUAGUUAGUUGAGCUUUCAGAUAUCCACAGAGAGGAACUACAGAAUCUGAUCAAUUCACUAACAGAUUUCCCUUUUUAUUCCUUGUUCCUAUUACUAUAAUGACUAAGUUUGACUGUGUCCCCAGUGAAAAGACUUGGUUCUCCCAGGCCAAUGCGUCUCUGCCUUCUACUGCCAUCAUGACCACUGAUGGUCCUGUUAUCGCAGUGGCACGCUUGUCUAUGUGCGCUCCACCCUUGGCUCCUGAGGUUAUAACUGUCCUUCUCAUACAUUCACCCAAAGUUCCAAAGUGAACCUGCCAUGUUGUGAUAGAUCAUUUAAUAGUGGCAGCUACAAACCCACAUCCCCUAUCUUCAUGGUGAACUCCUCUCACUUGAACUUCUUCUCCUAUAAGUAAGCUUACUCAGGACCACUUCAGUUCUCCAUAACUUCAAAGGGGUAGGGCUCAGGUCUAGAUCCAUUUGAUUUGCCCACUUGUUAUACAGAGACUAGUUCUGUAUUCCAAGAGGUAUAGAGAGGCCACAUAGUUAAGGCACCUGUGAUUCUUCAGAGCAUCACCCUGAUGCUGGAGCCACAUGGCUUGCAAUCACAUAGAGCUAGACACGUUUGGGAAUUUACAUUCAGUGUCCCCUAUCAAAAGUGGCCCUUUACCAGUGCAGAAAACCCAGUUCUCUUGCCUCAGAUUGGACAACUGUCAUGUGUGAUUAACACCCUCUGUUCCCCCUGUGGGAUCUGGGUGAAGCUACCUCAUAUCCUUGUUCUGUUUCCUUCCUUUCCUUGUCCUGCUCCCUCCACACCUUACUUGUCUCCCCUGGAAGUACUUCCCUAAUCAGCCACUUCCUCAUGGCUUUCAUCUCAGAGUCUGCUUCUGGGGAGCUCAACUUGAGACACCAACCAAAAGGUUCAAGGUGGUAAAUGCCUUCUGGUCUUACAUUUUCCCCUUAAUCUAUUCCAAAGUGAUUUGCUUCCUCCAAGUGAAGUGGCUGACAUUUAAAUGGCAGCUGCUCAUAUAAACAAAUAAACUUUCCUAGGCCUGCCCAACCAAAUUCUUUGCUAUUGGUUAUUUCCAAUCCUUUUACUUAAUAUUUUUUCUUGUGCCUGAAAAGGUCAAGGCCCACAGUAACCAAAUAUUUGGUCUAAUUGACCACUGUAUUCAGAGACUCCUGCUUGAAUAUUUGCUCUAAAAUCAGCUAGGACUUUCAUUUAAAAGAAAAUUCAACAGCUUUAUUGAGGCAUAACUGACACACAAUAAGCUGUACAUAUUUAAAGUAUACAAUGUGCUAAGUUUUGACAUAUGCACAUAUCUGUGAAACCAUCAUCACAAUCAAGACUGUGAAGAUAUGCAUCACUUCCCCAAGUUUCCUGGUGCCCCUUUAUAAUGUCUCGCUUCCACUCCUGUCACCCCUCUCCCAAGCAACCAUUAAUCUCCUUUCUGUUGUGAUAGACUAGUUUGCAUUUUCUGAAAUUUUACAUAAAUAGAAUCACAGUCUAUGCACUCUGUUCUGGUGCUGUUGGAACUUUACACUCAGCGUAAUUACCUUGGGUUUCAUUCCUGUGGGUGCGUGUAUCAAAGCUCAUUCCAGUUAACUGUGGAGAAGCCGUCCAUUGUCAGGAUGUACCACAGUGUUGAGAAGUCCACUCGUCCAGGAUACCUGGGCUGUUUCCAGUUUGGAGCCUUAUUACAAAUAAAGCUGCUAUGAACAUUCAUUCCCACAUCUUUGAAUGAACAUGUGCUUUCUUUUUUCCCUUUACUUCCACAUGAAAUACUUGGAUCUUAUGGUAGGUAUGCGUUUAACUUCUUAAGAAACUGCAAAAAAGUUUUCCAAAGUGGUCAUAUCAUUGCAUAUUCUCAGCAGCAGUGUAUGAAAGUUUCAGUUUGUGUAAGUUCUCAGUAAAUCUUGAUAUGGUCAGUCUUUAUACUUUCAAUUUAAUUUUAAUUUAAUUUAAUAGGUAUGUAAUGGUAUUUCACUGUGGUUUUAAUUUGCAUUUUAAACUGAAGUAUAGUUGAUUUAUACUCUUCUUCAGUUUCAGGUUUACAACAUAGCGAUUCAGUCCUUUUAGAGAUGAUACUCCAUUUAAAGUUAUGAUAAAAUAAUGGCUAUAUAUCCCUGUGCUGUACAAUAAGUCCUUGUUGCUUAUUUGUUUUAUGCAUAGUAGUUUGUACCUCUUAAUCCCCUACCUCGCCCUUGCCCCUUCCCACUUCCUUCUUCCCACUGAUAACCACUACAGUUUAGACUAUCUGACUCCUUCUUUCCUGGCUUCUUUUUCUCUCCCAGUGCCUUUAUUCAGGCAAAAAAAAAAAAAAACCAUAUCUCUUCCAACUUGCCCAGUUGAAAUCUAUUCAUAAGAAAUGAUUAAACUAGUCAGUGGCUGAAAUGCAGUUUCUACUUUUCUUCUCUCAGUGAAGGAUGGGGAGGGGAGGGUUAGGAUAUUUAAAAUAUACUCUUUCCCUCCCUAAGGAAAAGCUCUGCAUGUUUUUCAAGGUAUUGCAGAAAUCAGAUAAGUGGUAUGAAGAGAAUUUUGGAGCACAGGGGCCCUUGAAGAUGGUCCGCGGCACCUGCCCUGGUGGCAAGUCGGGCCCUAUGUGGUAAAUGCAUUAUGGGAGCAGCACUGGAGAGACACCAGCACUCUUUUGGCCCCACUUGAACUGUAAGAGGAGAACAAGACAGGCCUGGCUAGUGUCAGGCAUCCAUUCAGCCUCCCCAUCUUCCAACCUUUCUGUCCCCCAAUGCACUGGAGAGGAGGGGAAGAAUCACAGCCCAGGAGAGUAACAACCCCUGUGGACAGAUGGAGGGACAAUUAUCAGAGAGGCAGGCUCAGCAUGAGCUGGAAAAGCUACAUCAUCAGAUGCUUUGGUCUUAGGAUAACUUUAUAGUCUUAAAAAUUAUUCAAGACCCCAAGAGUAUUUAUGUGUAUUACAGCUAUCAAUAUCUACUAUUAAAAAUUAGAACUUAGAAAAAUUUAAAAUUUCUAAUUCAUUUUCAAAAAUAAUUAACCUAUUUUAUUAAAAACAACUAUACUUUCAAAAAUAAAAAGAAAUUAGUGAGGAAAGUAGCAUUAUUUUACAUUUUUUCAAACCUCUUUAAUAUCUGGCUUGAUAAGAAACAGUCUGAUUCUCAUAACUGCUUUUGCAUUUAAUUAUGUUAUUUUGGCUAUUGUAUAUGCAGAAAAUUGGCCUCACACAGGUACAUAUUUGGUAUGAAAAGGUGUACUUUAGUAGAUUUUUAAUAUAAUUAGAUAAUCUUUCUUCAUUCUGCACUAAAAUUUGACAAGAGAUAGAUGCAGGUUAGAAUUCGAAAUUAUAUCAAUGAAAAUUUUGUAUUCUGUUAUAAUAAUUAUCCAUUGGUUUAUCUUGCAAUUUUAACCAUGCAUGAUUUUGUAACAUCAUGUAUUGGUCAUUUGGAAAAUACUGGUUGGCUGAGUUACGUGGAUUUUCCAAAUGUUGAUGAAUUUUAUUAUAUAGUAUACAAAAAUCACAUUUUCUAAUAUCACUACCAAUCUCACCAGAAAAGCUUUUAAGUAUUGGGAAACUGUCACAUUCAUGGUGACAGAUAGUAGUUUUCCAAAAUUCUAAAUUUUACUUGAAAGCUUAAAUUUCAUCAUUGGCAACAAAUACUGUCAAUUGCACGUCUUGUAGAGAUAGACUGACUUCACCCAUUUUUGAGAAAAUGUCUGCCAAAUAACCAUAAUUUGUCUGUCAGUUGUUCUUUUAAGUAAAAAUGUUCUAUGAAAAGAGAAAAAAAGUCUUAGUUGUGCUCACAAUCCAAGCAACCACACAAGUGCUUUUCCUUGAGACAACUGUCAUACAUUGGUACAGAGAAGUACUUUAUUCCUAAUUCAUAUUUCAUCAGACAGAAUACUAAUGACACAUGUCACCAAGGGUCAGUGUUUAAUGAAGUUAAUAAUUUUUAACUGAUCCAUCAAGGACAUUUAAUAGAACCAUCUUUAUCCCCCGCAAGAUGGAGAAGAAUAUCAUGACUUACUAAGCACUGAGGACACUUUAGUGGAAACAGCAGUUUUAUCCAUGAGUGCUUUUUAAAAAAAAAAAAAACAAAAUAAAAAAAAACCAUCAACGCAAACAUCAACAUAGUCAAUAAGGCAAAUUAUCUUUUUAGUGUUAUUAUGACAACAGUUUUGUUUUCUCACAUUGCUGAAAGGGUCUCAGAGAUACCCCCACUACCACUGCCGCAAAGGAUACAUGGACCACAUUUAGAAAACCAGUUAUAUGCCAAUCUGCUAAAUGUACAUUCAUAUUAGCUGAAAUUAUGGAGCAACUGAAUCUUAUCCUUUUGGUAUAACAACUUGGCAACAAGAAAACAUACACCCUUUUUAACUGGAAAACCCCAAAUUAAAAAAAAUUGUAAGCAAAUUUUAAUUCUUUAGUAAUUAGUUUCUUAGGAGAAUUUUAAAACUCAGACUGGUAAAUUUAGUAAAUAACCUCAGAAAUCAUGGAGUUCAAUAUACCCUCCAGUAGAAAAAUAUACAGAACAAUAAAUGCUAUGGGUUCUGUGUGAUGGAUUACUUUGCAGGAACUGAGAGGUCAAGGAUGGAGCCAUGUGGUAUGGCAAUUCCCCAAGUCACAUAAAAUUAAAAAAACAAAGAAAUCCUUAAACAUAUUUGUGAAUUAAAAUAAUAAAAAAUAAAAACAAUCACACAAAAUUAGAUUUUCAAAGGAAGCAAUUAUUAUAUAUAGUAGUGAUUAGAGGUCACCACUGUGAAUUGACUAAGACUCAGAGAUAUAGAACUAAAGAAAUCCAGGCUCAACAAUUUACUAGCUGUGUAAUCUUGAGCAAGUGAACCUCUCAGGCCUCUUUUUACAUGUGUGAAAUGAGAGCAACAGUCCAUAUCCCCCAGUCUUGGUGUAUUACACAAGCUAAUUACAAGCUAUUACAAGCACUGAACUGUACCUGGCACUUAGUAGAUAAUCAAAAUGUUAUUUCUGUUUUAAAAGGUAGGCAGUGAUAUAGCAGAGAAAUCCCAUGGGUUAUCCAACAAGAUGGUCUUUACUAUAACCUGAAAAGAACCAUUAAAACAACAAUCUAAUCUAAAAGAAGGCAAAUGAAGAGGAAAAAAAGGAACAAUGAACUGAUGGCUCAAAUAGAAAACAAAGAGCAAAAUGAAUGUUUUAAACUUUAUUACCUUAAAUGUAAAUGAUCUAAAUAAAUAUCCUAAUUAAAAAGCAGAGAUUGUCAGUUUGGAUUAAAAAGUAAGAACUUCACUAUAUAAUCCUAUAAGAAACUUGCUUUAACUGUAAAGAACAAACAGGGUUAAAUGUAAAAGGAUGUAAAAGGCUGAAAUGAGAUGUACCAGGCUAACAUUAAUCAAAAUUAAGUUGGAAUGGCUAUGUUAACAUCAGAAGAAGUAGAGUUCAGGGCAGAGAGUGACAGGGAGAAAGAAGGUCAUUUCACAAACACAAAGGCAUCAGUUCAUCAGGAGGGCACGAGCAUCUUAAAUUUUUAUGAAACUAAUAACAGAUUUUUAAAAUACAUCAGUAAAAAUUAAUAAAACUUCAAGGAGAAAUAAAUAAAUCCACAAUUAUAGUUAGGGAUUUCACUAUCUCUCAGUAGUUGACUAAAUGGGAGGAUAAAAGGCACAUAACACGCACAGAGAAGACUUGAACAACACAACCGGACUUAAUUGACAUUUAAAGAACACUCCACCUAAUGGCAGUAGAAUAGAUGUUCUUUUCAAGUGCAUGUACAUGGAACACUUAUCAAGAGACACCACAUGCUGGGCCAUAAAACAAAUCUCAAUAUGUUUAAAAGAAUUCAACCUUACAAAGCAUGUUCUCUGAAACAGUGGUAUUAAAUUAGAAAUCGAAAUCAGAAAAAACUAUAAAAAAAUGCCCAAAUGUUUGGAAAUUAAGUAACUCUUCUAAAUAAACUAUGAUCAAAAAAUAAAGAUAAGAAAGGAAAAAUUAAAAGUAUUUUGAACUGAAUGAAAUUAAAACAUAGCCUUAUCAAAGUUUGUAAGAUGCUGCUAAUGCUAUAUUUAGAGAGAAAUUCAUGCAUGAAAUGCCUAUAGUUAAAAAAAAAAAAAAGAGCCAUCUUAAAUUAGUGACCUCAGCUUCCACUUUAAGGUGUUAGAAAAUGAAGAGCAAAUGAAAUUCAAAGUAAGAAGAAGAAGUAAAAUAAUACAGAUAUAAGUGGAAAUGGAUGACCUUGAAAAAAAGAAGCAAUUAAAAAAUCAAUAAAAUAAAAGCUGAUUUGUUGAGAUCAAUAAAAUGAAUAAAUCUCUAGACAGACUGAUUAGGAAAAAAUAGAUCAAUGUUAUGUCAAUAAAUUUGACAACUUAGAUGAUAUGCAUAAAUUCUUUGAAAAACAUAUACAUGUGUUAGUAAACACACACAUAUUUUCUUAUCCUGUCAGCAGAGAGAGGCAGAAGCAAGGAUACCUCAGCAACAAGGAGCACAGUGAAAUACUCCAUCUUGGUUCCUAACACCAUUCCCCAACAAAAAGAAGUAGGGAUCCUCAGAGAAAUGGCUGAUUCUAGGAUUGGGGCAGGAAAUACACAGAUAAGCCAGAUGAAUUUUGCAGUACCAGGAAGUGAGAAAGUGCUCAAACAAAAACACAAUGAUUAAGGUAUGUCAAAGGAAUAAACAGGCCAACUCAGAGAGCUCACCUGGCUGAAGCAGUGUUUGUCAUGUCUUACCACUCUUUUUUCCUACUUCCAUAGUGUACUCUUUGGAAGGAAGUCACUGUGUAGCCCCAGUUUAUGGAGUGGGAAGUUAUGCUACACUUCCUUGAGACUGGAGUAUCUGCAUAAAUUGUAAAUGUAUAUAUAUAGCAUAUAUAAAGUUAUAUUGGAAUUCUCCCUCGCCAUGCAUUCAGUCAUUUAUUUAUGUCCGUAUAAAUUCAUGAACAGUUACUUUUUAAUCUGAGUUUUAAGCUAAGACUAUUUUAUCUCAUUGCUCAAAUGGUUCCAGCUUUGGCUACUGGGGGCACUUCCUUACUUUCUGGUGCAAUAAGAUGUUUAGACUCAUCUUGUGCUGUCUCUAUGCCAGCAAAAGACUCUGUCAUUUCUACAAGGAUCUCUGGUUCAUUUAAGUGGAGAAGAGUAUUUAGAAGCAAGAUCUGAGGACAUUCAUUGCUACUGGUAUGUGUUUAUAUCUAGGUCUUCUCAGUGGACAGAGCUAGGAUACAGACAUAUGUAAUAAAAUGAGUUCAUAGAGAUUCUUCCAAUUCCAAUCCAGCAUGACAGGAUAUAAUCUAUUCUUUCCCUUUCCAUACUUUUAACUCCCCUUUCCAAUAGUGAAAAACUUGGCUCCCAUUAUCUUCAAUAUAUUUGCUCAUUGGGUCAGGGCUAAAACGCACGAAAGAUUGUUUCAAUGGAAUUCGACAAUGCAGCUCUUAAAGAUAGUGAGCUCCGUCGCUGAAACAGAGGCAGUAGAGGAAAGAAGUUAAGCAUAGCUCUGUAGUUAGAUCUUGAACCUAUCAUUUCUAAAGUGUUUAACUUUGGACAAGAUGUGUCACUUAUUCAAGCCUCAAUUUCUUCAUCUAUAAAAUGACGUUAUUUACCUUACUGGGUUGUUGUGAGGAUUAAGUGGGCCACUGUAUGGUGGCCUUAGUUAAGUGUUCAGUAAAUGGGAGCUAAAUGUUGUUUUCAAUACAUUUAGGAAACCCCAAUAUAUCAUGUUGAGUGAAAAAGGCAAGAAACAAAAUAGGAAAAUCCCUACUUGUGCCUAGAUAUUUUCCUUAGGAAAGGAACUGUUAACAGACGGAUAAAAAUGAGACUCACUUUUCAUGGCACAACUUUGUGCUGUUUAAAAAUUGUGCCAUGUAUCUGUGUUACUUUUAUAUUUAGAAAGGCAAACCUCAUCUUAGAAGGUUUUUGGGUUAAUUAAAAGGUUGAUUUAAUAUCUCAAACCAAAAGUUUGAAAACAAUGUCUGUGUAAGUUGUUUUCCUGAGAUGCAGUGCUGAGCCCUCUGUGUCCUGGCCAGCUGGGAAACCGACCCUGCAGGCAGCAACGUGACCACAGUCAGGACACAUAGCCUAUUCUUUUAUAGCAUUAGAAAGCAAUACUGAUCUGCUGGUAAUGUUCUCUUUAUUAUGUUGUUUUAUUUACUUACAGACGUUUACUAAGCACCUAACUUGUUUCAAGCACUACUGGAGACACUGGGGAUAUAGCAGUCAACUAACCCACUAAAAAUCCUUGUCCUCAUGGAGCUUACAUUCUACUAUGCGGAUAUUUCAUUUAUCUAUUGCUGCUUCAUAACCUUUCCCCAAACAUAGUAUCUUCAAACUUUUUAUUUCCUCACCUAUGAAUUAGGAAAUCAGGGCCUGGCCUGACACCUCUGCUCCAUAUGGUGUCCAAUGAUGGGUCAUUCACUUGACUUCAUUCAGCUGAUGGUUAUGAUUGACUAGAAAGUUCAAGAAGCCUUUACUCAGUCUGGAGUAAGACUUUACCCAUGUCUGGGGUCUUGGAGUACUCAUCCAUAUGUGGCCACUUUCCACUGGGCUAGCUUGACCUUCCUUACAAUUUGGUGGUCUCAGGUAGUUGGUUUUCUUACAUGGCUGUUGGCUUCCAAGAGAAAGACAGACAGAAGUCCAGAUUCAAGUGGAGGGGAAACAGACUCCAUUUUUUGACUGGAGUGGGGAGGGAAGCAGUGAUGUUACAUUAGAAAAAAGUAUGUGGGAUGGAAGUUAAUGUAGUUAUAUUUAGAAACAAUCUAUCUCAGAAAGAUUGAUAACUAAUAAGACAAGUAAGUAAAAAUGAAUUCUAAGGAGAAAACUAAAGCAAGGAAUGGUAUAGAAAAUCUGAGUCUGGGAUAGAGUUACAAUUUUAAGUCAGGGAAGGACUCAUUAAGAAAGUUACAUUUAAAUUAAGUCUUGAAGGAAAUGAGGAUAACUGGGGUAAGAACCUUCCAGGCAGAAGAAACAGCAAGUGUGAAGCCUCCGAGGCAGGAACAUGCCUGGCAUAUUCAAGGUGGCAAAUGGCAAGAGAGUGAGGCAUCUUAAAAAGAGAAGACAAAGUCAGAGAGGUAAGGGGUCAGCAUAUCAUGGAGAGUCUUAUAGGUCAUUUGGCUUUUACUCUAAAUUAUAAGGGGGGCCCUUGGAUAUUUUUUGAGUUUGGAAGAGAUACAACCUGACUUGUGUUUUCACAGGAUCCCUGUUGGCUAUACUGAGUAUAGACAAUAGGAUGCUAAACAGAAGUAGGAAGAACAGUUAGAAGAUACUGCAACAAUUCAGGCAAGAAAUGAAGGUGGCUUAAAUUAGGAUGGAAGCAACAGGGAUGGUAAUAAUUGGUUGGAUUCUGGAUAUAUUUUUAACACAUACCCCAAAAGAUUUGCUGAUGGACUGGACAGAGUAGGGAGGAAGGAGAGAAACCAAAGAUGAGUUCAAGAUUUCUUUACCUGAGUGACUGGAAAGAUGAAGUUAGUAUUUACCAGAUGGAGAAAACUAAGAUCAAGACUGGGAGAACAGUCAGUCGAAGGUCAUGCUAGAAUGACUAUUAGAUUUCCAAGGGUAGCUAUUUAAUAGGAAGUGGAACAUACAGUUGUGUGUGUAUAUGUGUGCGUGUGUGUGUGUGUGUACACAUAUACAUGCACAUACCUUUAAAUGCACAGGAAACUUUUUGGAAAUAUAUAUUAAAAACCAUUAAUAAUUACCUCUGGAUAAUGGGAAUCUUCAAAUUUUGUGGCUUAGCGACUUAAGAACCUGACUAGUAUCCAUGAGGAUGCAGAUUUGAUCCCUGGCCUCACUCACUGGGUUAAGGAUCUGGGGUUGCUGUGGCUAUGGAGUAAGCUGGCAGCUGCAUUUCCGAUUUGAACCCUAGACCAGGAACUUCCACAUGCCAAGGGUGUGGCCCUAAAAAAAACACACUGAGGCGUGAGAGAAGGGAGUAAUAUAUAUAUUUCAUUUGUUUUAAAAACGUAAUACCCUUCUGUUAUAUAUAUUAAAUGACUCAAGUCACCACAAAUAGGUUGCAUCAGGAAAGCCCAUGCUAGAUCAGGUUAUCAACAAUGUCCUUUCAGGCUCUGAUAUUGAUUUCUACAGCUAGGAAUUAACUGCUAAUUUUUACCCUCACUUCCUCCUUAGGCUUCUGUGAAAUUUAGAAUGUGUAAACAGCCUAAUUCACUUGCCUCAUCUUGAAAACAGUACCAAGAGCUCUCAGUGCUUACCUACCUCACAGGAAAUUUGAGGUUGGAUUAGAUAAGGUGUUCAAAUACUCUGAGUUACCAUAAAGAUAGGUGCUCAAGUCGGCAGGAUAUUAUGACUCCUGGAAUAUUAAAAGGCAGUAAAAAGAAGCUGUUUCUGCCUUUUGAUCACAUAGGCAUUUUGAUACUCUUGAACUAUUACUCAUUUAGUCUACUGUAGAAUGAGUGUUUCUCCCUAAACAUUAUUCAUUUUAGCAUUUCUGUUCAUGCUUUCUGUCAAAUAAGAUUUCCUCAGCCUUUGAUUUUUAUCAAGAUUUACUUGACUUUAGUCUUCAAAGCAUUUAAUUCAAAGUUCACUCUAUCAGUGGGUGGAUUAGUUGAGUAACUGAAAUGCCAGUGUUGAAUACUGUAAUAGUUUGUUAUAAUAUUUCUCCUCACAGGAUACAUACUUACCAACGUCAUGUACUAAUGAACAAUGAAGUGACUGUCUAAAUAGCAGAAAUCUUUAAAGGAAAGUUACUGGUAAACGCAAGUGGAAAAUAAUAAACAGUGACAGCUCUACAAAAUGUUCCCUUAAUGCAUUUUAUGGGUUCUUCUAAAGUCAUUACUAUGUGCUGGAUAUUGUAUUAGGUGCUAAGAAUACAAGAAGAAAACACAUGUCUCUUCCCUCAUGAAGCUUAUAUUCUGCCAGAGAAAUGCCACAUUGCAUUUUAAAUUUUAUUUAUGCAACUGUCCUAAUGAAGUAUUUGAGAUGCUAGGUGAAGAAUUUGGAGAUUGCUGGCAGUAUCCAUUUCUGGAGAUUAUUACUAUGGAGAUUUUUAUACUUU